AGACCUUAUGCACAAAGGUUGUCUCAUCUUCCUGAAGAUCAAGAAAGGAUAUAAAACUCAAAGGAUUCAGGGCUCCUCUGGCCAUUUCUGACUUCUUCCUGGACUACUGGUUCACCAUCAUUUCUCCAAGAUGUCCUUUGGUGGUCAGUGGGAUGCAGGACAGAGUCUCUACUCAUGUGACGCUCAGUGCCCACAGCCUCUUGCUACCAGCUGCAAUGAACCAUGUGUUAUAUCCUGCGCUACCUCCAGAGUCAUUAUAUACCCACCUCCCGUCGUUGUGACAUUCCCAGGGCCAAUCAUCAGCACAUGCCCACAGGAGACAGUAGUGGGAAGUUCUGCAGUUAUGGAGGGAGGUACACCAGCCCCGCUGACAUCUUUGAGAGCAGAAGUCCUGUGCUCAGAGCCACCUGCAAAUAGCUUCAUCCCCAAACCUGUGCCUCAGUGUGCACCACGAUGCUCCUACGUGUUUUCUUCCCACUGGAUGCAUCCUUGCAGCAGACCCAGCAACAGCAGCUACCAACCAUCUGAGAGCAAGAGUGAAGAGCAUGCUCCAGAGAAGGAGAAGCCAGAAGCUGAAAAUACAGAAACAGCAAAUGAGGACAAAGAGACCCCAGAAGCAUAACACAGUGAUACCAACCCCAAAGGCUUCGUAGACUCCUACUGCCUCUUUAAAGCAGACCAACCCAUAUCUUCUUUAAAUUAUGCUUUACCUUAAGUUCCUAGGGUGUUCUCCCUCUCAGGUACAUUCUCAGGCAGGUAAUUAGAGAUAAUCAGUCACCAGGAAGUUCACUUUUCCUUUGGAUAAAUAUACACAUCAUUUGUAUCUGACUUUUAGUUUCUGCAAGAAAAGUGUGGGGAAAAAGAAAUUGAUCCUCUGCAUCUAAUGUCAAGGAAACAGUAUUUGAUGAAAGUUAUUACUUGAAUAUAGAGGUUAAUGCAAGCAUAUGAGUGACAGAAUCUGUGUCUAGAAUUGUGCCUUUUACACUGUUAUUUUUCCUAGCAGUUUUGUUCUAUCCCUUCCCAUUAAAAUUAUUCUGCAUUAUCA